UACGUAGGGGGCUAGCGUUGUCCGGAUUUAUUGGGCGUAAAGAGCGUGUAGGCGGCCAGAUAGGUCUGCUGUGAAAACUCGAGGCUCAACCUCGAGAUGUCGGCGGAAACCAUUUGGCUAGAGUCCGGAAGAGGAAAGUGGAAUUCCUGGUGUAGCGGUGAAAUGCGCAGAUAUCAGGAAGAACACCCGUGGCGAAGGCGACUCUUUGGCCUGUAACUGACGCUGAGGCGCGAAAGCGUGGGGAGCAAACAGG
rnacentral:rRNA from 1 species